GGUUGGUCCGAUGACAGUGAGGUCUCAAACAAAUGCUCAAGACAGUCACAGAGUUCCUGUUUCUCCUCCUUCCCCCACUGUUGGCCAUGACUAGCCUUUU
rnacentral:Y_RNA from 1 species